GACGAACGCUGGCGGCGUGCCUAAUACAUGCAAGUUGAGCGCUGAAGGUUGGUACUUGUACCAACUGGAUGAGCAGCGAACGGGUGAGUAACGCGUGGGGAAUCUGCCUUUGAGCGGGGGACAACAUUUGGAAACGAAUGCUAAUACCGCAUAAAAACUUUAAACACAAGUUUUAAGUUUGAAAGAUGCACUUGCAUCACUCAAAGAUGAUCCCGCGUUGUAUUAGCUAGUUGGUGAGGUAAAGGCUCACCAAGGCGAUGAUACAUAGCCGACCUGAGAGGGUGAUCGGCCACAUUGGGACUGAGACACGGCCCAAACUCCUACGGGAGGCAGCAGUAGGGAAUCUUCGGCAAUGGACGAAAGUCUGACCGAGCAACGCCGCGGGAGUGAAGAAGGUUUUCGGAUCGUAAAACUCUGUUGGUAGAGAAGAACGUUGGUGAGAGUGGAAAGCUCAUCAAGUGACGGUAACUACCCAGAAAGGGACGGCUAACUACGUG
rnacentral:rRNA from 1 species